CAGCUUGGCUUCUACGAGUCAGACUAAUUUGGAUUCCAGUCCUGCUUCACCUGCUGACCACAGGGGGCUGGAAGUUAACCAUUGAGUACUAAAGACGUGAUGGAAGCAGCAUGGAUCCCCAAGGCAUCACUUUAAGGGGAGCUACCCAAACAAUGAGCGCUUCUCUAAUCAGUGAACACAUGGAACUGCCAUUCAUGCACAGAGACAGGGAAAUCAGCCUGGCAGCCCCGACAAUGGUUUGCACAAGCUGGCACAAGACUACAGGACUCAUGAAUAGCAGGCACAUUUGGAAGGCGGAGAAUCACAACAGAUUCCAGUUCUGGGAUUAAAGGGUUCAUGACUUGUGGCCAAGUGGAAGAUGCUGAGGAACAACCUUUUGACAGAAAACACUCAUUUUUAUACAAAUACUGCCAUAAAGUGCUCACUCAUUCUAGUAUGGAG